UACAGAGGUCUCAAGCGUUGUUCGGAUUCAUUGGGCGUAAAGGGUGCGUAGCGGCGCGGUAAGUCGGGUGUGAAAUCUCGGAGCUUAACUCCGAAACUGCAUUCGAUACUGCCGUGCUUGAGGACUGGAGAGGAGACUGGAAUUUACGGUGAGCGGUGAAAUGCGUAGAUAUCGUAAGGAAGACCAGUGGCGAAGGCGGGUCUCUGGACAGUUCCUGACGCUGAUGCACGAAGGCCAGGGGAGCAAACGGG
rnacentral:rRNA from 1 species